rnacentral:lncRNA from 1 species
GCCCCGCCAACUCCUGAAGCUGUGCCGGGAGGGAUCUAGCUUGAUGAAUGGCUGAGAGUGCGACAUCAGGGGCGGGCAAAGGUAUCAGAGCUGGUGACCUCUGCAGUGCUGUUGGUGAGAUCAUAAGGGAAGAGAAAAAUAAGCAGGAGAAGCUUAGGUCUGGCCUCAGGAAGGAGCAUGGAAGACAGCAGGCCCUGCUGUGGAAGACUGGGCCAUCCUCUCCCCACUUAGAACUUCAAGACUGUUGGAAGGGGUCGUGGCCCUUCAGCGGUGAUCUGAGAGCUGUCAGUGAUGACCAAGGAGGCCUGGGUCCUGUUGUUCAGGUCUAUGGCAGGGUGGGACAGGACAGCACGGAUCUGGCUGGAGCUCUGGCUCAAGAUGUCCUCCUUAUCCCUGUUGGUGGUGGUGCUGGUCAAGUCACAGCUGGGCAGAUCCACAAAGUCUACCUGCAGUGUGACCUGUGACCCAGGCUGCUCAGUGAUGAUGUCAUGACCCAUGGAACCAGAAGUGCACUCCCCUGAGGAAGCAGCCAGCUCUCCACUGAUGUCACCCUUUACAAAGGCUAAAGACAGAGAAAGGCCCACCGGUCAGAUGGCCAAAGGAAACAUCCAGAAGGGCAACAAAG